UACGGAGGUGGCAAGCGUUGUUCGGAAUUACUGGGCGUAAAGGGCGCGUAGGCGGCCUAUCAAGUCAGAUGUGAAAGCCCCGAGCUCAACUCGGGAACUGCAUCUGAAACUGUUGGGCUUGAGUUCUGGAGGGGGUAGUGGAAUUCCCAGUGUAGCGGUGAAAUGCGUAGAUAUUGGGAGGAACACCAGCGGCGAAGGCGGCUACCUGGACAGUAACUGACGCUGAGGCGCGAAAGCUAGGGGAGCGAACGGG
rnacentral:rRNA from 1 species